CGUUAUCCGGAAUUAUUGGGCGUAAAGAGCUCGUAGGCGGUUUGUCGCGUCUGUCGUGAAAGUCCGGGGCUNAACCCCGGAUCUGCNGUGGGUACGGGCAGACUAGAGUGUAGUAGNGGAGACUGGAAUUCCUGGUGUAGCGGUGGAAUGCGCAGAUAUCAGGAGGAACACCGAUGGCGAAGGCAGGUCUCUGGGCUGUAACUGACGCUGAGGAGCGAAAGCAUGGGGAGCNAACAGGAUUAGAUACCCUGGUAGUCCAUGCCGUAAACGUUGGGAACUAGGUGUGGGGACCAUUCCACGGUUUCNGCGCCGGAGAUAACGCAUUANGUGCCCCGCCUGGGGAGUACGGCCGCAAGGUUAAAACUCANAGGAAUUGACGGGGGCCCGCACAAGCGGCGGAGCAUGCGGAUUACUUCGAUGCAACGCGAAGAACCUUACCANGGUGUUGACAUGUUCCCGAUCGCCGUAGAGAUACGAUUUCCCCUUUGGGGCGGNUUCACAGGUGGUGCAUGGUUGUCGNCAGCUCGUGUCGUNAGAUGUUGGGUUAAGUCCCGCAACGAGCGCAACCCUCGUUCCAUGUUGCCAGCACGUCAUGGUGGCGACUCAUGGUAGANUGCCGAGGUCAACUCGGGGGAAGGUGAGGACGACGUNAACUCANCAUGCCCCUUUUGUCUUGNANUNCANGNAUANUACANUGGACAUUANANUGGGUUGCGAUACUGUGAGGUNGAGCUAAUCCCAANAGGCNNAUCUCNGUUCGGNUUGNGGUNUUNANCNCGAUCCCAUGNGGNCGGANUCGUUAGUAAUCNCAGAUCAGCAGCGGUGNGNAGNNUCCGUCCCCGGGACUAG
rnacentral:rRNA from 1 species